CCUAAGAAGAAACAGUGAUAAACAAGUGGCUCAGAUUCCUCAUUAACUGCUUUUUCCAGGCUUCUUAAAAUAUGCACCACAAGGAUUAAAAAUUAAACUUUACUGUGCGGUAAACAGUUGUGCUGGCCAACUAUUAUGAUUGUAUUAUAUUCUAGUAGUAUCUCAUCAAAUGACCAUUUAUUUUAAAAUGAAGUAAAAUUCUAAGUAUGCUAGGAAAAUACAGGUAUAUGAAAUAAUAUAGGGAGUCGUAGUAAUGCUGUUUUCAAAUGGUCUAGAAUAGUCUACUAAAAGACUACUGUAUCCAGCAAGGGUCUGCCACAGUUGAAAGAGAAACACUUUCCAUGGUUCAAACAGCCUGAAAAAAACCCAAAAAGAAAAAACAAAACAAAACAAAAAGUACGCUAAACAGAUUACUGGGAGCAAUACUCUAUCUGAGGAGAGGAAUAAAUGCAGCCAAGUGACUAAAGAAAAAUCAAUGAAUCCUAAUUUAAUGAUAUGCAACUGAGAACACAAACCAGAAAAAAAAAAUCAAACUGACUACAGUCUACACAUCCAAAUACUAAUGGAUUAAAAAAAAAACCCAUUGUCUAUUGUCUAUAAAAACCCAGUUUGAAAGAUAGGCACCAUUUCCUUAAAAUGAAAGGAUGGAAAAAGUAUUUCAAGUGAUGGGAGAAAGAAGCAUGUGGCUUGGCUCGCCAUCCUUAAUCUAUGACAAAAUAGAUUUCACACUAAAACUAGUCAUCAGACAAUGAAAGGAAAUUCAUUCUAAUCAAGGGAUCAAGUAGCCAGGAAACUAUCGCAAUACUAGACAUAUAUACACCAAACUCUGAUGUGCCCCAUUUUAUUAGAAGCAGAAGAGAAUUAAAGACACAGACUAAUGGAGUAACAAUCAUAGUAGAUGAUUCUAACAACCCACCUUCUCCAUAAGAGAGGUCAUUUGGACAAAAAAGAAAAAAGAGAAACCUCAGAAUUAAAUAUUGGUUUCUCUAACAUGAAACCAAUAACAUAUCUACAGAAUAUUUUACCAAAAUAUCAAAUAACUUUCAAUCACACAUGGGAUCUACUCUAAAACAGAGAACAUGCUGGGACACAGAGCAAAUCUUUGAAAUAAUUCCAUAUUUCCUAUGUAACCAUUAUAGUAUGCACUCAUAAGUGGCUUUUUAGACAUAAAGCAAAGAAAAAUCAUCCUACAGUUCACAGCCCCAGAGAACCUAAACAACAAAGAAGACCCCCGCCCCCCAAGCUGGAGUCCCCUCUUCCAUCCAUUUCCUGUCUGUACUGCUGUUUUCCCACCCUUGUCCCUUUAUCCUUUCCUGGUCUACAUGUUGUGUAUCCACAUUGGAGCUGGGGGCUGCAGGUGAUAAAGAAUAGGUGACAUCUAAGCUUUCGCGCUCAGCAUAAUCUUUUCUAGGUCCAUCCAUUUACCUGAAAAUUUCAUUUACCAUACAGCUGAAUAGUAUUCCAUUGUGUAUCAAUGUACUGCAUUUUCACUAUCAAUUAUCUGUUGGACAUUCUCUGGGGGAGCAAUACAGAAGAGACGAGGGACAAGUAACAACAGAGCUGUUUGAUAAUGCCUCAAGUAAUCGUAUUACCUAUAUUGAUGUUAAACAGUAUGCAGCACAUAAGUGUGUGUGCACACACAUAUGAAGUUAAGCCACCUGGGCUGACAAUGCUCCCCACAGGAAUCAUAGACUAAUGAAUGCUCCAGUACCGGGCAUGAGAAAUUGCCUAUUGCAUGGUCAUGGUAGUCCAAAUGACUCCCAAUCAAUUCUUGGUGUCUCUCACAGAUUGAAGGUAGGGUAGGCUCUUCUUCCUGAAGACAUUAUACUUGAGGACACAGAACUUGGAUGACUUGAGCUGGAUCUGACCUGAAAGCCUUUUUCCUGCCGUCUAGCUUCCUUGGGUCCAGAAAUUACUAUGCAAGUUGCUAAGGGAAGGAAGCAAUUAAAGUCUUAUCAAGCUGUAACACCUAGGAACCAAGCCAGUUGCCAGCAUGGUAAGAUAGGCACAAUAAAUGGCCCUCAUAUAUCAGCGGCAACCAACAGCUGUCUAAUUGGAUUUAAGGCCAUUUAACAGGAAGAAAAGCAUCCGUGGUACAUCCCUAAAUUAGCCAGCUUCUUGGGACUAGUGAGGUCAUGGACUUCAGAAAGCGGUCUUCACUACCACUUUGAUAAGCCUUGUCCUUAUAUCCACAGAUAAGCAUAAUUCCACUCCUCAUCAAAGAAGCAAAUAGAGACCAGCACAGAAAACCACAAAUGUAUCUCACAACGAUUCUGAGAUUAACAGAUUGUAGGAAGCCCAGUCCCUCUGGUCACAUCUGCAUCACAGUUCCUGCAUCAAUGGCUCCGGGACCACAGAAGAAAAGAGGGCAGCAAGAGUGUAAGAGUCAGACUACCAGGAAGGCAGCUGUGAAAUGGUCUCUCUCAGAAACAGUGACACAGACCAGACUGGAACAGUGCCACAUCGGGGGACAUGCUAACGCAGACAGGCUCUCACAAUGGAUGACGGCUCAGAGGAGGAGAAUGAACACAUACACGUACAUAUGUGUGUACAUAUUAUUAUAUGUAUUAGCAAUAAAAAAGAAAAAGACUACCAACUGAAGAGUAAAGGCACUUGGUAGGGGCUCAAGGGAUGUCAGGGAGGAAAUGUAGGCAAGAAGGUGAUGUAAUUCUAUUGUAAUUAAAAACAUAUUUUAAAAAGUUAACUCUGAAUAGUCCAUUAUACUAAGGUGACAAACUACUUGAAGCAGGCUGAGCAGUGACUGUUUAAGGCUUUGUGGAAUGAAGGAUCUCUCCAUUUGAAUAUCAUCUUGAAUUGUAUACUAAAAGUCUUCAACCUUAUAUUUGAAGACCAUGAAAACGCAACAUCAAUUCACAGAUGCUAGAAAAUGCAGGACUGCAAACUAUAGCCUAAGACACAGCAGCAUGACUCAAUAAACCACCAGUAACAAGUUCUAGUUUGGCUCUGCUGCUAGGCUGUGCAUUCUUGGCCAUCCUAGAUACCUCUCAGUUUUCUCAGCUUUGGGAUAGUUAUCUCCAGAACAGAUGGUCCCUUCCACCUUCUAGGUCAGAAAGCAUGAAGAUGAUGGGUCCCACCUCAGAACCGACAUUUUGAAAAUUAAUUGGGACAGAAUUCUGCUAAUUCUCUUGGGUAAAUGUGCCAAGGAACCAAUUAGAGGGGGAAAGGAAAGCAGAAUCAAAUACCCAACAGAAUCACCCAAAGAGCUAGCCUAUCAAUCUCUAAUAUGCAAAUGAAAGUAAAGGAGAAAACAUACACAAAUCCAAGUACUUACUGCCCACCCACCCUCUGGCCCGAGAGCUUUGCUGUGGGACUCACACUGACAUCAUGUUCCAGCUCAGCCAGCAAGUCAAAUUGGUGUCUUUUAGUGCCUGGCAUGUCUGCAGGAACACCGGACCACACCUAGGACAGAGCACACCACAAAAGAAUCGAUCUGGAAAUGUAGGGUACAGAGAGCACUGGAGCGGCUUGGAUGGGAAAAGCACAAGGGAAUCUGAAGAGAAAGCUGAUGGCCCUGCAAUACAGAGACAGCGAGAACACAUGGAUGCGUGUUUCACAAUGAAACACACUGAUCUUUCAAUGAUCCCUCAACUUAACUUGCACUGUUAGAAUUAACUGAUCAACCAGGAGGGCUCCAGUCUGUCAUCAAACAAGGGCUCCAAAUCUGUUUCUGAAGACCUAGAAACGCCUAUGUGAACACACUGCAGAAGCACACACGAGACACUAUUAUUGAAGACACACUCAUGUGUAUUGAAGGUGAACACACUGCAGAAGCACACACGAGACACUAUUAUUGAAGACACACACGUGUGUAUUGAAGGACAUAAGAAACCAAGCUGGAACUUAGCUGACAAUUUCUUUCCUGGUGGCGAGCUUUCAGGGUCAGCCACUGGGGUGGGUAGGGGGUCAUGAAUGGAUUUGUCCACCAGUGGAUCCUGCGUGUUAUUAGACUGACGUGCCUGCUGUGUACAAUAAUGGCUUCCCAACUGGAUCUGAAGCCUACUCCACAGGAAGGAAUUCAUGUCUUGUCCUGUAAACCUGGUCAAAGGCCCAUGGCUGGGGAAGUCCUGGGCCUUAGGUGAAAUUACUGCUGUUUUCUGACAGUCUGCUGCCUACCUAUUUAUGUUUAGACCUUAGAUGGGUGCUGUUCUCAGCCUUGGUCAGGGAAGCUGCUUUCUGCAGUUGGAAACAUUAAAUGCAGACACUCCUAACCGCUCAAAGUGCUGAGUGCAAGUGACUAUCAAUUGCUUGGUCCUUCAUGGGCAUUCACACAUCACCCAGUGCUGAGUCUGCAGGAGGGAGGCGUGCUAUGCGCUGUCUUCUGGGUAGGACAUGGCUGCCACACUCAGGAACUCCCAUCAGCUGUGCUACCUGCAUGAGAUGUCCACAACCUUCCAUCGUGGACAGGAGAAGCCUCAUGAGGCUCUGUCCAUGCUAAGCAGUUAGUGACAACUUUCUGGGGUAGGGGUGCCAUUUUUCUUCAGGAGUGUGGCAUCUGAUAGGCUACCCAAACUCUGUGGAUGGCCCACACCCAUUCUGCCUGCAGGCAACACUAACUGGAAUCUAGGUUUAAAAAGGAGAAGGAGUUGAAGGUGGGAGGGGAAGCAUUGUGAGAUUGAAAAGGAGCGGAUGUUGGUUUUGGAUAUGAUCAAGACACAUUCUAUGCAUGUGUAAAACUAACAAGGAAUAAAAAAGAUAUUUGGAAGAAAUGCACAGUAUACAAGCUUUAAGAGAAUGCAAUAAUAAUGUAUCCUUGUAUAUCAAUUACAUACUGUCUGAACAUAUUGAAGGGAAGCUGAAUAUUUUAUGAGCAAACAUUUUCAGUUAAAAAGUACAUGCAAACCUUUACAGUAGAGUCCCACGAUGCAGAAUACAGCCUGUCGUUAUGCCAACAGAUCUUGCUGACAGCAUCAUCAUGUCCCAUCAGUGUGUCCUGACGUCUUCCGAAU